AAAAAUGAAAAUAUUAGAGGGGUGUAUGUGUGUGUGUGAGUGGGAAGAAGACGAAGGUAGUUGGUGAGCAACACUUUCCACUAGUUGCACAUUGCCACCCAGAUAGAGUCCAAUACAACAGAGGAGAAUGCAAUUUUGUGAUUUUAACAGAAAAAAUAAAAUAUGAGAAAUAACAUCUCAUCUUGAAACACACUCUUUGGGCAGCAUGGUGCAAAAGUAGCAAUUUUGACAUCAAAGUUUAUAACACUACAGAAAUUAUAUCACAAAACCACGAUUAAACGCGAUUAAACCCAUAUUUGUUAUGUAGAGGUGUAGUUGCAUGCUGUUGCAAGGGAGCGCGAUACACUGUCUACACACCUGGUGACAACAGCGCUGCGUGCUGCAUUCAAAGACCCUCCCUCGUGAAAUCUUCUCCCGAAAACGUGUACGUGCCCUAAACACCGCAAAGCAAUUCCUGGUACACAGUGCCACAGAAUAGUUUUUAAACUUAAGUAUUUUAUGUGUCCACGCUAAUAAGGUGGUCCUUUGUCAGCAUGUCAACUGUGAACGCGAAGGAAGCAGACUCUGUCGAGAUAUUGGCGUUGAAACUCCGGUGAGUUGAGGCGCACAUUCUUGCUAGCUUGCUGGGAGGAGAGUGCCGCGUGCUUACUGUUCAAGUUCAGAUACUUUCAAUUAAGAAACACAGUUGGGGUACUGAGAACGUUUUUCCAGUGUUUUCAACGUAGUUUGGUGCAUAUUGUGUCACUGUAUUAAUGUAAAGGCCGCCAGUCUCUCCAAGCUAUUUGCUAAGGCUAAGGCUAAUUGCUAACUCGAGUCGCUAACGCUAAUUGCUAGCUCUGGUUGUGUGCUAAGAUGUUAAUGUAGCGCCAGUUAUUCCUGUACAGAGGAACAGGUAAUAGUGUGGCGAAGUAUUAAAGAUGCAUUGAAUUGUUAUGCUGACAUUGAAAAUCAUUUAGGUUUAGUGGAGUUAUUUCAUUGUAAAGAUUAGCAGAACUACAGUGUAAUUGAACUCAUUUUGAUUGUUACAGUGUACAUGUGAUGUUAAGUAGUGGUGAUGAGUUCAAAUUAAUUCUAAGGGGAAAUUAUUAAAAUGAUGUAUAGAAGAGUUAAAACAGAAUAUAUUACAUGUAGAAAGUAGUUUAAAAAUAUAAAUAAGUAAUGUAUUAAUACUAACUGAUGUUGUGAUCUGCACUAUUCCUGUAGAUUGGCGUUUUGAGCUACCAGUUAGAACCUGGAGGAUUUGGUGAUGGUGAGCCCAGCCAGUGAGACUGUGGAUGGUGGUGGAAGUGGUGUGGCCUACUGUGGGAUCUGUCCAUAGAGGACAUCUGACCAACUUGAUUCAUUCAGUUGGACACCAGAUAAGAACACGUGCACAUGAUUAUCUCAGGGGGCGGAGCUGCGAGCAGGAGGCAGACAGGCGGUGUUUUUUGUCAGCGCGCUGGAGGCGUGGCAGAACACUCUGACGAAACAGGUCCUUCUUUGGCUUCUCCUGCAGGAUGAGGUCCAUAGACGACCCCAGGGAGUACUUUCGGCUCACCCUGCGCCCCAGGCCCUGUACAGCUGAGGGGACAAAAGGACUGUUAUAAGGAAAAAGUUCAACAUUUUGAAAAUUAAGGUACAGUAUAUGCUUUCUUGCAGAGAGUUCUAUAAUUCUCAUGUCUGUCAGUUAAAUAUGGAGCUGAAACAAGAUAUGAAGUGUUAAUUUGUGAGCUUUAGAGGUUCAGGUAAAUUUUGUCACUUUAGGACAGAGCUGGGUUAGUGCUUUCCCAUGUAUUUCUGGUCACAAAGCUCAGCAUGUUGCCCAAAAUGCUGAACUAUUCCUUUAAUAGACAUUAUUUAACUUGUGAAAUCAUAAUUCAUUCAGGGUUAACUAGAUUUUCAUAUCCAAUAUAUUUGUAAACCCAGUAACCCCUCCCCCCAAUUUAAUGGUUUGACUUGAUGUGCUAAGCAUGAAGGAUUUCAACAGAGACUGCUCUGUGCAGGUUGAAAUGGAUGAUUUAGAGAUAAGAGUUUAUCUUUAGGCUUCUUUCAUAACACAAAAAAAUAUUUACUUGAAUAAACUAAUCUCUAAGACGACCAUGUAAACAAUCCUCUUUUGUAUGUUUGAUACAGUAUGUGUGUAGGCACGUGCACAUGUGCACUAGAACUGGGUGAUUAUAUGAUGAUUAAAAUCCACAUGAUAAUAUUAAUAAGUAUAUAAUAAAUAAUAUUUUUUCAUUAUAAAUACAGCUGAGUAUCAAACCUCAGAAUUUUUUUUGGUACCGAGCAAAAUGCGCCUGUAUCACCCAGAUUCUUAAACAUGUUUAUUCUUAGUUUCUUAUUUAGAUGAGAAUCAAAAUUUAUUUUCUUGAAAGAAAAAUAAGAUUUUGUAGAAAAAAGUGCCAAUAUUUGUCAAAGUAAGGUAUUAAAAUAAGUAUUACUUUGUUAUUUCUACCAGAAUUCAUUUAAACAAUCCCCAGAUAUGUACCAUAUCAAUAUACUCUAUUUAAUUAUAUUGCAAAUGUGUUCAAAACACUUAACAAAAUAAUCAAGCCACUGAUGUACAAUGUUCACUGUUAUGAAUUACAUCAUUCUAAACUACAUAUAUUUGUCAAACAGCUACAAUAACUUUUAAAAUUUUAAAUUAUAACUUGCUCUGAAUAAUUUAAUUUGUACAACUGAAGUUUGAUGAACAAUAUAACAUUAUAUGAUAUUCAUGGACAGAUAAACUUGCUAGACCUUCAAGUAUGAUCUGCUUGGUGCCUGUUAACCCUGUUUCUUCUAUUCUCUGUGCAGGGUUGAAUAAUACCCAUCCCAAAAUUUGCUGUGUGGUAAUUUGAAUAAACACUAAUUAGCAUUAUGCAAUAUGUCAGCACAAAACUGAAAUACUGAAAAAUAGGGACUAUCUUUAAGUAACAAUCCUGAAAGGCCCUUUUCCAGCUGAUACUGCCUUUAAUGCUACACAUUUGCAAAGAGAUUUUCAAGUACGUUAGCACAAACAAACAGUAAGCCUGGAGUUCUAGAGCCUGGUCGUCUGCUCUGCUUGGUUGGUAAUCCAGCCUUGCAUUUGGUACAAAAUGGUAUGAUCCUACUUGAUUGAUAUGAUAAACUGUUCAGCAAAUUAUGAAUAUUAAAUCAUCUCCUAGCCCUGGUGUGUAUG